UUGAAGAGUUUGAUCCUGGCUCAGAUUGAACGCUGGCGGCAUGGCUAAAACAUGCAAGUCGAACGAUUAAAGCCCUUCGGGGUGCAUAAAGUGGCGAAAGGGCGAGUAAUGCGUAUCUAACGUCCCCCCAGGCGAGGGAUAGCUCGGAGAAAUCCGGGGUAAUACCUCAUAAUCCCGAUUGGCCGUAUGGCCAUGCGGGCAAAGGCUUGCCACCUGGGGAUCGGGAUACGUCCUAUCAGCUUGUUGGUGAGGUAAGAGCUCACCAAGGCAAAGACGGGUAGCGGGUGUGAGAGCAUGACCCGCCGCAUCGGGACUGAGACACUGCCCGGACUCCUACGGGAGGCUGCAGUAACGAAUAUUCCGCAAUGCGCGAAAGCGUGACGGAGCAAUGCCGCGUGCAGGAUGAAGCCCCUCGGGGUGUAAACUGCUGUCAGGGACUAGGAAAUUUGACCAAUCCCAGAGGAAGAGCCGGCUAACUCUGUGCCAGCAGCCGCGGUAAUACAGAGGGCUCGAGCGUUAAUCGGAAUCACUGGGCUUAAAGCGUGCGUAGGCGGCUCUGCAAGUAUCUUGUGAAAUCCCACGGCUCAACCGUGGAAUUGCUCGGUAGACUGCAGAGCUUGAGCCCGACAGAGGUUGUCAGAACUCUAGGUGGAGCGGUGAAAUGCGUAGAUAUCUAGGGGAAUGCCAAAGGUGAAGACAGGCAACUGGGUCGGUGCUGACGCUCAGGCACGAAAGCGUGGGUAGCGAACGGGAUUAGAUACCCCGGUAGUCCACGCCCUAAACGAUGUGUACUAGAUCGAGGAGGUUUUGACGCCAUCUCGGUCGUAGCGAAAGCGUUAAGUACACCGCCUGGGGAGUACGGUCGCAAGGCUAAAACUCAAAGGAAUUGACGGGGGCUCACACAAGCGGUGGAGCAUGUGGCUUAAUUCGAAGCAACGCGAAGAACCUUAUCCUGGGCUUGACAUGUAUGGAUUAGCUUGCCGAAAGGUGAGUAACGCGGUUUCCGUGGAACAUACACAGGUGCUGCAUGGCUGUCGUCAGCUCGUGCUGUGAAGUGUCGGGUUAAGUCCCUUAACGAGCGAAACCCCUGCCGUUAGUUGCCAGCGAGUAAAGUCGGGGACUCUAACGGGACCGCCGGUGUCAAACCGGAGGAAGGUGGGGAUGACGUCAAGUCCUCAUGGCCUUUAUGCCCAGGGCUGCACACGUGCUACAAUGGCGUAUACAGAGCGACGCGAUACCGCAAGGUGGAGCAAAUCGCACAAAGUACGCCCCAGUUCGGAUUGUGGUCUGCAACUCGACCACAUGAAGGUGGAAUCGCUAGUAAUCGCGUAUCAGCUACGACGCGGUGAAUAAGUUCCUGAGCCUUGUACACACCGCCCGUCACGUCAUGGAAGCCGGGAGCACCCGAAGUCGCGGAGUUUCAUCCGUGCCUACGGUGAGUUCGGUGACUGGGACGAAGUCGUAACAAGGUAGCCGUAGGGGAACCUGCGGCUGGAUCACCUCCUUU
rnacentral:rRNA from 3 species